GGCGCGAUGGCGGAACUGGUAGACGCGCGGGUCUCAAAAACCCGUGAAGAAUCACACUUCGUGAGGGUUCGAGUCCCUCUCACGCCA
rnacentral:tRNA from 1 species